CCAACAUCUUUAAUAGGAUGUUACGAUUGUGUGAAUACAUAGCACAUUCGAGGUAGACGCAGAGAACUGAAACAUCUAAGUACCUGCAGGAAGAGAAAGAAAAUUCGAUUCCCUGAGUAGCGGCGAGCGAAACGGGAAAAGCCCAAACCAGCAAGCUUGCUUGUUGGGGUUGUAGGACUCCAAUAUGGUAGUUCUUUCAGAUAGUCGAAUGACUUGGAAAAGUCAGUCAAAGAGGGUAAAAACCCCGUAGACGAAAUGUGGAAGACACCUAGGAGGAUCCUGAGUACGGCGGAACACGAGAAAUUCCGUCGGAAUCCGGGAGGACCAUCUCCCAAGGCUAAAUACUCCCUAGUGACCGAUAGUGAACCAGUACCGUGAGGGAAAGGUGAAAAGCACCCCGGAAGGGGAGUGAAAUAGAACCUGAAACCGUGUGCCUACAACAAGUCAAAGCCCGUUAAUGGGUGAUGGCGUGCCUUUUGUAGAAUGAACCGGCGAGUUACGAUUGCAUGCGAGGUUAAGUUGAAGAGACGGAGCCGCAGCGAAAGCGAGUCUGAAUAGGGCGUUUGAGUAUGUAGUCGUAGACCCGAAACCAUGUGAUCUACCCAUGUCCAGGUUGAAGGUGCGGUAAAACGCACUGGAGGACCGAACCCACGUACGUUGAAAAGUGCGGGGAUGAGGUGUGGGUAGCGGAGAAAUUCCAAACGAACUUGGAGAUAGCUGGUUCUCUCCGAAAUAGCUUUAGGGCUAGCCUCGGAAUUGAGAAUGAUGGAGGUAGAGCACUGUUUGGACUAGGGGCCCAUCUCGGGUUACCGAAUUCAGAUAAACUCCGAAUGCCAUUCAUUCAUAUCCGGGAGUCAGACUGUGAGUGAUAAGAUCCAUAGUCGAAAGGGAAACAGCCCAGACCACCAGCUAAGGUCCCAAAAUAUAUGUUAAGUGGAAAAGGAUGUGGGGUUGCACAGACAACUAGG
rnacentral:rRNA from 1 species